rnacentral:rRNA from 1 species
AUUGAACGCUGGCGGCAGGCCUAACACAUGCAAGUCGAGCGGAUGAAGGGAGCUUGCUCCUGGAUUCAGCGGCGGACGGGUAAGUAAUGCCUAGGAAUCUGCCUGGUAGUGGGGGAUAACGUCCGGAAACGGGCGCUAAUACCGCAUACGUCCUGAGGGAGAAAGUGGGGGAUCUUCGGACCUCACGCUAUCAGAUGAGCCUAGGUCGGAUUAGCUAGUUGGUGGGGUAAAGGCCUACCAAGGCGACGAUCCGUAACUGGUCUGAGAGGAUGAUCAGUCACACUGGAACUGAGACACGGUCCAGACUCCUACGGGAGGCAGCAGUGGGGAAUAUUGGACAAUGGGCGAAAGCCUGAUCCAGCCAUGCCGCGUGUGUGAAGAAGGUCUUCGGAUUGUAAAGCACUUUAAGUUGGGAGGAAGGGCAGUAAGUUAAUACCUUGCUGUUUUGACGUUACCAACAGAAUAAGCACCGGCUGACUUCGUG